rnacentral:rRNA from 1 species
UACAGAGGUGGCGAACGUUGUUCGGAUUUACUGGGCGUAAAGGGUCCGCAGGCGGCUUGGUGUGUCAGAUGUGAAAGCCCACGGCUCAACCGUGGAAUUGCAUUUGAAACUGCCGAGCUAGAGUACUGGAGGGGAGAAGGGAACACUUGGUGUAGCGGUGAAAUGCGUAGAUAUCAAGUGGAACACCGGAGGCGAAGGCGCUUCUCUGGACAGAUACUGACGCUCAUGGACGAAAGCUAGGGUAGCGAAAGGG